rnacentral:rRNA from 1 species
UACGUAGGGAGCAAGUGUUGUCCGGAAUCAUUGGGCGUAAAGCGCGCGUAGGCGGCCCCGUAAGUCCGCUGUGAAAGUCAAAGGCUCAACCUUUGAAAGCCGGUGGAAACUGUGGGGCUAGAGUCCGGAAGAGGCGAGUGGAAUUCCUGGUGUAGCGGUGGAAUGCGCAGAUAUCAGGAGGAACACCAAUAGCGAAGGCAGCUCGCUGGGACGGUACUGACGCUAAGGCGCGAAAGCGUGGGGAGCGAACAGG